CUGCAAACCUGCACAGCAUGUGAUGUGGUGGAAUACUGAACUGAAUGCUGAAUACUGUAGGCAAUUGUAACAUAAUGUUUCCUUAGGCCCUGCCCUGGUGAAGAUGGCUGUUUGCUGGGUCACGCGAAGACAAAAGCCAGGACACAGGCCCCAGCCCUGCUAAACACUGCAGUGACUCUGCUCCAGGCUACCUCCUGUGGGAAUCUGCUUCACUUCACAGACGACCCCAGCAUCUUCAUUGAGGUCCAUGAAUGGACAUAGUUUCCAGGAUUUUUUGUGACCCAGGAAACCCGAACUCUCAUCAAAAAUGAAUAAGUAAAAGGAGGGAUGGGUAAGAAAAUUCUAAAAUCUUCUUUCUGAGUCAUUAACGUUCACUUGAAAUUUGUCGUCACUAUUUCCUACUUCCCUAGCAAAUUC
rnacentral:lncRNA from 1 species